CGGAUUGAAGCUCAAUAUAUAAAUAAAGAGAGAUGAUUUCAGUUAUGGAUGCUGUGAUCUCAAAUGACGCAAAAUCGAGAUCAUCAACGCAAGUGAUCAGAACGAGGUUUUUGGAAACAAUCUUGAUAAUUUCUUUCUUAUUCGCCGCAUUUCUCUUAGUCAUUCCUUACCAAUACGAAAAUGGCAACCCUGUUCCCACCGUGAUAUUCAACGGCAUCCCCUCUUCCGGGUUUCAUGCAUUUGUUGUAUCGCUCCUGUAUGCCUUCACCGGCGCCCUCACCGCUUUGUUAAUUCAUGACACCACCGCCGGCUCAUUUCUUGCUAGAUUUUGUGAGCUUGUUUCAAUCCUUUGUAUGACAUCGGCUGUGUCUUUGUUCGUUUGGUCCCUCUUCACUCUCAGUUUUCCAAAGCCAUUUAUGGGAUUGGGAAGAACGUAAUAGAGCUUGAUCAACGUGGGUGGCUCCUAAAGAAGAUUCCUUGCUUGGGAAUAUGCUUUGUGACGCAGUAAAGUAAGAUGCAAAGUUGAAGGGAGAAUUGCAAAAAAUUAGUAUCAUAUUACAUCAUAUGCAAACAAUUUAAAAUUUACAAGUAAAUCUUAUAUUUAUAAUUAUUUUUAAUUGUUA